UACGAGGGGGGCAAGCGUUGUUCGGAAUUAUUGGGCGUAAAGAGCGUGUAGGCGGCUCGAUAAGUCUGCUGUGAAAGUCCAGGGCUCAACCCUGGAAGGCCGGUGGAAACUGUCGGGCUAGAGUCCGGAAGAGGCGAGUGGAAUUCCCGGUGUAGCGGUGAAAUGCGCAGAUAUCGGGAGGAACACCAAUGGCGAAGGCAGCUCGCUGGGACGGUACUGACGCUGAGACGCGAAAGCGUGGGGAGCAAACAGG
rnacentral:rRNA from 1 species